UGUCUGGAGCACUGUGAUGUCAGACCUGAACUCUCAGAGGAAUCUUGAGGCCUGCCAGUCACCUGAUAGACCAAAGCACCUGGUGCCAGGGAGAAUGGAAGAGGCAGUGGGUGCCUGGCCCAGGGACCCUCCUGUCUUGCUCUGGGCCAGGCCAAGCCUCUGAUGGAGAGGUCUAGGCUGGAGAUCAUGUGGUGAUGUGCGUGGGAGCCUCAAGAAACAUCUCCCAGAACAGAGAGCUUGGUACCCAAUAUUCUCAGCGGGGUGCGGCAGGAGGCAAGAGAGAGGAGAGAGUCCCAGCCUCUCUCCAAGCUUUCUACCUACCAGGCCACUGUGAGGAUCUGUGUCUCCCCUAUGUGGAUCCACCAGGAAAUAUUAUUUAGAAGGUUCAUUUGUCUGGCGGAACUCGGAAUCCAGGGGCCAGUGAGAAGCUUAAUGGGCUCCGGGACUCACUAGUGACAUCAUCAGCAUCCUGGACCCCCUCCUGCCCUGCUAGCCCCCCUGCACAUUCUAGAAACUACACACGGUGGGGGACACUAGGGAGGACGUCCUCCUGUGACCGAUUCUCUCUGCUUCCAAGCUAGUAGGAGUUCAAGCUGUCUGGAGGUUGCAACUAAAUAUAAGGACUAAGCUAUGCUGGGUAUUUUUAUGCCAACUUGACACAAGUUAGAGUCAUUUAGGAAGAAAGACCCUCAGUUGAGAAGACCCCCCAUCCCUUUGGUUGGUAGACAAGCCUGUGGUGCAGUUUCCUGAUUGGUAAUUGAUUUGGGAAGGCCCAGGUCACUGUGGGUAGUGCUACUCCUGGGCAGGUGGUCCUGGGGUGUAUAAGAAAGCCGUUGAGUAAGCCAUGAGGAGCAAGUCAGUAAGCAGCACCCUAUAUGGUGCCUCUGUACCGACUCCUGCAUCCAAGCUCCUGCCAUGACUUCUUUCAGUGAUGGGCUACAAUGUGAAACUGUAAACUGAAAUCAAAUCCUUUCCUCCUCGCCAAGUUGUUUAUGGUCCUGGUGUUUCACCAUAGCAACAGAAACCCUAAGACACUAGCCCAGGCGGUAACUUACUGAUCAGAGCUAGCCUGAGCCAUCAGAGAUAGAAUCCCUAGCCUUGGAGAAAGACCACCCCUCCCAGCUUCCCCUGCCUGCAGGUUCCAGCUUCUCAAUGCCAGAUAUAAUAUAGAAACCAGACUUCUGGGGGACCUCAAAGGGCUCUAGCUUCCCACCUCCUACUGGUCCCUGUUUGACAUACAGGGAUCUCAGGUCUGCUGUUCAGGGGUCCAACCAAGUUCCAAGGAUGUCACGUUCCUAGAUGUACCGUGAGAAUUGAGAAGUGCAAACUGGGAUGGUCUGAGAAGCAGGCUGUUUAAUGCACAGUCCUGUGCCUGGAGCAGGGGCUAGGGGAGGAAACUGUCUUCUCAGGAUUGUACACACACAAGUGGACAUGCCUCUGGAGGCAGGAAGAGUGGUCCUCUGGAGCUGGAGAUACAGGGGUUGUGAUCCACCUGACAUGGAUGUCUUCUGCCAGAGCACUACAUGCCUUAACCACUGAACAAUCUCUCCAGUCCGUCUCGAAGAUUCUUAUUUUAACCAUGCAUGUUUGCUUCCCAUCACCUUGGAGGCCUGGAGAAGGAGGGUUACCCAGAUGUCCUUAAGGAGUCCUGUCCCUGACCUUGAUCUGUCUCUGCAGGACCCAAGUUAAGGAGUAAGGGCCAGUGACCACUGCCUACUAGCUCUGAGGGUGAAGUGAGCUGGCAUGCCAAGGACAGCCCUAGUCCCAGAAUGAAGUACAGUGUGGGUGGGUUCGCUGAUGGGAUGCUGGACUAGAGGGAACUGUUUCUAGCAGUCUGCAGAAGGUCAGAGCACUGCAGGAGAGCGUCCCUUUACAUUCCGAAGGCAUCCCCACUGUCUGUCUGCCUGCAGCCGGGCAAUGGGAUUACUUUGUCCACUCUAGCUCCAAGGUGACACUUCACUGUAUUAAACAAGAGAAGGACUUCUUUGAAGGCGCCCAUCCACAUCCACCUGAUACCACCCACUUCCAGCCACCGCUGCUGCUCUGAAGCAGCAAUGGGGGCAGUUCUGUCCAUUCACCACUGAGGACAGCCAGGAGAGUCCCCUAAGGUUUGAUUCCUCAAGAAGAACAGAACCACCGAAACCUUUCACCUCAAUAUCAAUCAAUCCUACAACCUGGGAAAGACACGGGAAUUUGGGAAUCUGCAUUUUCCUCAGAGAGUAGGAAAAAGAUCUAGGAAACAGGACAAUGUGGGUAGAAGGGAUAAGUUACUGUGAAGGCAGAGUCUAUGAGUAGGUGGCCUGUGUCACCAUAUAGCACCCUGUGCCCAUCACUGCGCCAAACCCACCCCUCAGGAAAAGGCCUGGAUCAUGCAACAAAAGCAGUAGGGCUUCAUCUACACCGCUCAUCAUGCCUGGUCCCUGGGUGUUACCCUUGCUCCCAGGCGCUUUCUUCAGGAUACCAAGAGUCGGCAGCACCCACAUUCCUGAACCAAGAGGUUGACUAACAAUGUGGAAACACACAGCCCACUUGCUCACCCUGUGCCCCUGAGAAGUUCUGCCAGCCUUCUGAGAGUUCUCCCUAAGAGCAAAUCUGUCACUGGCAGGUCCAGCUGUAACCCACUUGUGUGGCCCAUGGGCACUCGGUCCUCAGUCUUGCCUACAGUCCUACCCCACAGCCCCCAUCUAUCUUCAGCCCCACCCUUUAUCAGGGAACCUGGAGGCUAAGUCCCUCCAUGUUUCCGUCAUGCUAGUCCGAGGGUCAGCUCUCUCUUAUGGAGCCUUCAGCACGGACACUCGGGCGUUCCUGGGCACACUGGUCACCCUAUUGUCACUCUCCUCUAAAUCUUUCUGAGCCGGACAGGUGGGUCCCACACAUGACUUUAUGGAUUCCCCCUUCCCUUCCACACACCCUGUACUUGGUGCUCCACGGAAACCAUUUUACUUUUGUAUUUUAGACAUAGCUCCUGUGAACCCCGAGACACCAUAUGUCACCAUGAUUUUGGGGGAUCGAGCCCUCUUCCUGACAUGAUCUCAAAAGACUCCAUCCACUUGACCUCUCCACCCCCAGAUAUUGCAGGCUUUGUUGCCCCAUCUCCAUAUCAAAGUGUGAUGCCCCACCCCCAACCCCCAGGCCAAAACAUUUCCAAGGAGAAACAGCUGGGUGGCCUGCCAUCUCAUAGCUGGGAUCCAAGUGACUGUCCCCAGGCCUCCCACAGAUCCUCACCUCACCCAUUGUGUCCCUUCCUGGGGUUUUGCACCCCAAGUGUCACAGACUCCAAUCUCUUUGUGUAAACAUCUUAAUUACAUCUUUAAUGCUCUCGCACACUGAGAUGCUGGAGUUAAAUUACAGCUUUGUGCAUCCUAAAUUACUCAGAGCUUUCCAGUUGCUCAAGUGCUAACGUAUUUAUAGCAGCUAGAGGCAGCAAGAAAACCAGAACCUCUCCCCAUGGGAUGCUCCUAGCCCUCCGCCUCUUGAGCCCCCCCCCACCUCUUAACAUGUGAUAUCUGCCCAAUAGCAGCAUAUGUCCACCCCCGCAUCCCCUCUAGCCGGCAGAGGACAGGGGUGACAGGGAAGUUGGGGACACGCCUCUGUGCAUGCUCACGAGUAUGUCCCAGUGUAGAAAAACCACCCUGUCUUUGUGGCCUUCUCUGCCCAGAUGCUCCCAAUAUCAGUCCCAAGCCUCCAAGACUUUGAGGGAAGACCAAUGGCAGACUCAAUUCUACAUUCCGUGUACACUGAGUGGUCCUCCCUGCAGAUACGGUGGAAA